CUGAAUGCUCAACACUUUCUCCGAUCAUACUGGGUAUAUUUCACACACGGAACUAACAGUCCUUCCCCGAAGACGUUUCCUGCAUUCAUUACCCCGUCAUAAAGUUUGAUGUCACUACUCUGGGCUGGAGAUCACUAUCAUAGUUGCUGAUGAAUAACUUUUUCUCUCCGUUAAGAGCAUUGCUUGGUGCUUGGUACAUUUCUUUCUAUUUGAAAUAAACGGCGUUAUUUUUUUUCCUCAAUAUAAGAAAACUGUAACUUUACGGCACUCCAAUUUAUCAGCCGUUUUACAUCAGCAAAUUUUGCGUCUACUUGAUCAAACCGUGUAUCAAUAUCUUUACGAAGUUUUCGAAUAGCUAGUAAUUCCGGUGACGGUCCUGUAUGAAUAAAUGCAAAAACAAAUGAUAAAAACGGAGCAAUUACGCCUAGAAAAGGUACAACACUUGCUGCAACUGUUGUUAACG
rnacentral:lncRNA from 1 species